rnacentral:lncRNA from 1 species
UUAUUAGCAUGUGUUUUAUUUGCUGGAGUGAGAUCCCAGGAAAAAGUAAAGUGAGUUUGCUUUCACAUCAGUUCGACAACAAAGGCAGUGAUUUGCCUUAAUACCAAGAGGAAACAAAGUCUCUUGAACACCCACUGGUUUGCUUCAGUUAAGCAAAACUAGCUUACAGAAUUUUCCUCUACAAGUAUCAACAAAAGGCUUUUCCAAUGAUGCUUAAACACAAGUUGUGCUGGAAGGACUAGCAGCUAUGUGAUGUAUGGUUGUCCUUGGAGUUAUUUCCCAGAUCAUCUCCAUGGUCUCACCCAUACUGUAAACUAGAAUCUACAGUUUAUUUUGCAUAAACCUUUAGGGUAUAAAUGUAACUCAUCACACAUAAGUUAUUUUAAGGGCUAUUAAGUUAUUUUAAGCCCAUCUUCUCCUUUAGGUUUAGAUAUUACAAAUUCUACUUAAAACUGAAGAACUUAAGGACUAGAAGUGUUUAAGACC